rnacentral:rRNA from 1 species
UACGAGUGCCUCAAGCGUUAUCCGGAAUUAUUGGGCGUAAAGGAUGUGUAGGUGGUUGUGUUAGUCUCUUGUCAAAUUCUUCGGCUUAACCGGGGGUCCGCAAGGGAAACGGCACGACUAGAGGAUGCGAGGGGUCUGUGGAACUCAUAGUGUAGCGGUGAAAUGCGUUGAUAUUAUGGGGAACACCAAAAGCGGAGGCAGCAGACUGGAGCACUCCUGACACUGAAACAUGAAAGCGUGGGUCGCGAAUGGG